CAAAUCUAACAGUCAAAUCCCAAUGCAAGCAUCUAACUAGCCAUAGCCAUAGAUUUUCUGUUAUUCCACCUGCUGCGACCUACCAUGUUACAAAACAUAUUUACAUAUCACUAUAAACCCACCAUUUCUCAACUUUCCCUUUUCCACUUCGUGACUGGUUGAUCCAGAGUUUCGAUUUUAAAAGGAAAAAUCCAAGUCGAGUUAGCUGGGAGAGUAAAGAGGAUGGGGUGCUCUCGAAUGCAAGAAAAUGAGUGUUGCUGAGCUUGUUCUCUUUGGAGUAUGCAGUUUUCUUUGUCGCAAGUUUUCCAGGUCUGACAUGAGUAUCUUUUCAUGCAUGGCUGCCAUUCAUAUUAUGUAAUCUCUGGACAGUACGUGGAUCUGUAUUCAGUUUUUUUCAGCAAACUUGGCCUUCAUCUCUGGAUACACAACAAAACAUGUAUACAUAAAAAUCCCAGUAUUCUCGGACACUUGGUAUUUGAUGAAGCAGUUAACAGAUAAGAACAGUGGUAGAUAUACUAUUGGUUGUGGUGAUGGUGAUCAUGAGCCAUCUUGAUGAUAGGGUCGUUAACGUGAUGGGUG